GAUGAACGCUGGCGGCGUGCCUAAUACAUGCAAGUCGAGCGAACAGACGAGGAGCUUGCUCCUCUGACGUUAGCGGCGGACGGGUGAGUAACACGUGGAUAACCUACCUAUAAGACUGGGAUAACUUCGGGAAACCGGAGCUAAUACCGGAUAAUAUAUUGAACCGCAUGGUUCAAUAGUGAAAGACGGUUUUGCUGUCACUUAUAGAUGGAUCCGCGCCGCAUUAGCUAGUUGGUAAGGUAACGGCUUACCAAGGCAACGACGCGUAGCCGACCUGAGAGGGUGAUCGGCCACACUGGAACUGAGACACGGUCCAGACUCCUACGGGAGGCAGCAGUAGGGAAUCUUCCGCAAUGGGCGAAAGCCUGACGGAGCAACGCCGCGUGAGUGAUGAAGGUCUUCGGAUCGUAAAACUCUGUUAUUAGGGAAGAACAAAUGUGUAAGUAACUAUGCACGUCUUGACGGUACCUAAUCAGAAAGCCACGGCUAACUACGUG
rnacentral:rRNA from 1 species